AUGGCGAAGCAUUCUAUCCCCUUGCUCAUGGCAAUGGUCUCCAUCCUUCUCACAGCCAUAGCCACCACCCGGGCCGCGAGCCUUGCCCCAGCAGCCGACGACCGGAACUCAAGAAACAUGCCAACCGCGUAUGAAAUGCUAGGGAGGUAUGGCUUCCCACCUGGCAUCCUCCGGAAGGCGUGCAGGGCUACGAGCUCCGGCCAGAUGGUUCCUUUGAGGUACACCUCUCUAACGACUGCAAAGUCCGCAUCGCCGGGCAGAACAUCCAGUACAACAGCCGGAUCGCCGGGAAGAUCCAGAACGGCUUGA
rnacentral:rRNA from 1 species